rnacentral:tRNA from 1 species
AAGAUCUUAAGUUAUAUAUAAACUAACAUCCUUCAAAGUUGUAAAUAAAAGAAUUCUUUUAGAUCUUA